AAGUAGCGGCGAGCGAACGCGGAUUAGCCCAAACCAAUGUUGUUACGGCAAUAUUGGGGUUGUAGGACCACGACAUUUGAUGCAUGAUGAACUAGAACAAGUUGGAAAGCUUGGCCAUAGACGGUGAUAGCCCGGUAUAAGUAAAGCGUGCGUAGAUAGUGGUAUCCUGAGUAGUGCGGGGCACGUGAAACCCUGUAUGAAUCAGCCGGGACCAUCCGGUAAGGCUAAAUACUCCUGAGAGACCGAUAGUGAACUAGUACCGUGAGGGAAAGGUGAAAAGAACCCUGAAUAAGGGAGUGAAAUAGAUCCUGAAACCAUACGCUUACAAGCGGUCGGAGCUGACUUGAUCAGUGACGGCGUGCCUUUUGCAUAAUGAGCCUACGAGUUACUGUUGUUAGCAAGGUUAAGUACUUCAGGUACGGAUCCGUAGCGAAAGCGAGUCUGAAUAGGGCGCUAUAGUUAGUUUGAGUAGACGCGAAACCGUGUGAUCUACCCAUGGGCAGGGUGAAGCUGUAGUAACAUACAGUGGAGGCCCGAACCGAUAUACGUUGAAAAGUGUUCGGAUGACCUGUGGGUAGGGGUGAAAGGCCAAUCAAACUCGGAAAUAGCUCGUACUCCCCGAAAUGCAUUUAGGUGCAGCGUUGUGUUAGUUUUAUAGAGGUAGAGCUACUGAUUGGAUGCGGGGGCUUCACCGCCUACCAAUUCCUGACAAACUCCGAAUGCUAUAAAAUGUUAAUCAGCAGUGAGGGCAUGGGUGCUAAGGUCCAUGUCCGAGAGGGAAAGAACCCAGA
rnacentral:rRNA from 1 species